AAAGGCGGGGCCCUGGGCAUGGUGGCUUCCGUUUUAUUCACGUGUAAAAAUGUCGGCUCUAGAUGGUGUUGCUUCUUCAAGGAAAAACGCAGGAAGAAAGGGGAUUUGGUACCAAAUGGACUUCCAUUUUACUCUCAAAGAAGACAAGGACCAGUUCUAGUUAGGCUUGAUCGAGUUAAGGGGUCUUUAGGCACUAAAAGAAGGCACUGGAACUGCUGUCUCAUUUACUCGCCGAUUUAGUUUAAAAAGAGAAUCAUUCUGAGGCUCUAUCACAUGAUACUAGUAGUUCUUCUGCUAUGCUCAAUACUUCAGGUAUGGGUGAUGGGGACGAAGAGCAGCCAUUUUGUGCAUAGAUAUAGGAUCGGCUGUUGGGAAACAUACAUUAGUGUUAGUGUGGUAUGGUUGACCGAAGGAUGAUCAGUUACAGACAGGUAUUCUUUGUUAGUAUUGUUAUUAUUAUUACUAUUAUUAUCAACAUCAUCAAAACUAUUCAUAAUUUUAGAUGGUCAUGUGAUUUGUGCUGAAUUUCGAUUAAAUCCCAGUUGUGAGUCCUGUAAUCGUAACUCAAGUUUAUUAGUUACUAGAUACAGAAGCUCGUACUAGCAUUUUUCUUGUACUGGUAUAUUACCAUCACAGUACUGCCAUAUUUUUGUCGGCAUCACUGGGCACAGUUGGGAAGAGGUACACAGAUACAGGAGGCUCCUCACCAUCCCAAUAUCUAUUCAACCCUAUAUACAUAAUGUUUAUAUUUUUAAAAAUUUAGAAUAAUAUUUUUGUAUUUACUUCUUUCAGUAGAUUGUUGAAUGUUACAACUGCUACCAGUACUAGGAUCUGAAUGAGGACCAUGUUGGGGUCUUUUGCUGGAACCACUUAUACUUGAUGAUGGUGGCUGAUAUAUGGUAGUCGGCAGAGCUGUCUGGUCCCAGUGGUGGCGGUUCUUGGGCUGGUUUUCUGUGUAGUAGUGAGGGCUAUUCCCUUGCCACUAUCACUUAUUACCUGGCUGACAGCAUCAUUGACCGUGUUUCUUAGGCUGUUGGCAGAUUUUUCAGAAUAUACAAUAUAAUAUUUGAUAAUAAUGUAAAAUUAUUACUUCAAGUCAAUUAUACCAUUUCUCUCCUUGCUGUGCUUUCUAGGUGUGCUUGUAGGUUAACUCUCUCACCUUUGCUAAUUUUAAU